rnacentral:lncRNA from 1 species
AAAACUCACAACGAAAUUCCACCAAAAUUCAACCCCCACCGUCGAUUUGUAGCAACUUUCAAAUCUGUACAGAAUUUCAUUUUUUUUGCUCAAUUCUCAAACCAAGACAAAAAAAAGCAUAUCUGUUUAUUUAAAAAAAAAAAAGAGGAAGAAGAAGAAGAAGAAGAAGAAGCAGCGGCUGUUGGAGCUCGGAGGCGGUGCGGCUGCUGCGGGGCGAAGUCCUAGGAGGCGGCGGAACGACGGGAACGACUCGCGAAGUCUCGCCGUCUCGGAUCUGGGCUGCUGCGGGGCGAAGUCCUAGGCGGCGGCGGAAACGGCAACGGCGAGCCGGCGGGCGGGCGAGGGGCGCUGGGUGGGAGGCCGGAGAUCCUGGAACAGCAGGGCGGGAGGCGGAGACUCCUGAGACUGACGAGUCACGAAGACGAAGGGAAUUAGGGAAAGGAAGGGAAAAUGGGAAUUUCAAACCAGCGAAUUUGGGCGAAUUUGGGAUUCUGGGAAAUUGGGAAUUAGGGACUAUAUUCGAAUUUGGGAUUAUGGGAAUUUGGGCGAAUUUAAAAUACACUUAAUUAAAUAUUCGGGUAUUUCGGGUAUACCCGAUACC